AGCCGGGCAUGGUGGCUCAUGCCUGAAAUCCCAGCACUUUGGGAUGUCAAGGUGAGUGGAUCAUAAGGUCAGGAGUUUGAGACCAGCCUGGCCAACAUGGUGAAACCCCGUCUCUACUAAAAAUACAAAAAUUAGCUGGGCAUGGCAGCAGAUGCCUGUAGUCCCAGCUUUUCGGGAGGCUGAGGCAGGAGAAUCACUUGAACCCGGGAGGUGGAGUUUGCAGUUAGCCAAGAUCGUGCCACUGCACUCCAGCCUUGGGAACAGAGCAAGACUCCAUCUUAAAAUAAAAAAAAGUGGACAAUUUCCACUGUGUCUUUGGGUCUUCAUUCAGAAGGCUCCUGUGUACUCGCAUAAAAUAAAUUUGUGUGACUUUUAUCCAGCCUCAUGUCAGUGAUUUUCAGUGAACCUCCAGGGAGCCAAGGGCCUUGUCCUUAGUAAGAUAAGGAGAGUAGCCUCAGGGUCAAAGGCUGCUGAAAGCCACAGUACCUAGGCCCUCAUUAAACUGCACCUAGGCAGCUGAAGGUCCUUUCCUCUGCCCCCUGCCACCCCUCCCAAGAUGUGAAGAUUAGACUGAACUGUAAGAGAAGGUAAACAUUCAUUUUACAAAUUCUCUUGGAGCUGGGAAUGUGAGUGUUUCAGAACUCAGAGCAGGAAAGAACUUUCUGUGACUCUGGGAGCUGGGGCUGGAGGAAGUCUGCAGCAUAGGUAGCUCAUGCAUGGACACUGCAGUCAGAUGACCCGGUACCAAAUCGUGGCACCAUCCUUCCGUCCCUUCCUCCCUUAACCUCUCUGUGCUUCAGUUUCCCCAGCUAUAGAAGAGGGUCAGAGGACCUUCUUCAGAGGUUACCCUGAGGACUAGAUGACAUGAGGACCAUAGUAGCUACAGAUGUAGAGCACAGAAGAAGUGUGCACACCAAAUGGCCUAGGGGAGGACCAGACAUCAACCUCCCAAGCUGGCUGAAAUCGUCCUACUAUCCGACACAGAGCUGGGGUCUCCCUAGUACCUGCUGCUCUGGAGUUCCUAGGAGAGGAAGAGGAAGGAGGCAAGGUAAGCUGGGGGCUUUUCACACUCAAGGCCUCCAGAGGGGUAGGGAGGAUUGGCACAGGUGCCAUGUUCGUUUGGUGUCUUGCUUUCAACUCUAGCUGGGCCCUGGAGCCACCGACGUCUGCUCGACCCUUCCCUGAUUUUGCUCCAGUUUGCUCUGCACUGGGAGACUGUAAGCCUCAGGGGGAGGGGAGCGUAAGGGGGCUGUAGAGUGAUAAGUUUCAAUGCAUAAUUCAGCCCUCCUGGGACCCAUUUCCAGAAAGUGGACUGGCUGAAGUUUGGCUGAGAAAGCCUGCAAUCCAAGGAUCUGGGUGAGGCAGCGUUGACAGUUAAUGUCCAAGGACAGUCACCGUAUCUGGAGUGGGGUUCAUCCACUCAUUAUUUAGUGGAGUGCCUCUAUUGUAUCAGACACUGCGCUAGGCACCCCGAUUUGGGCCUCCAGGCCUCCCUGAUGCCAUUUUAGACCUGUCUAAGUAAGCACCCACAUCUCAAAGGCAGCUUU
ensembl:lncRNA